AAGUGGGGGACCUUCGGGCCUCACGCCAUCAGAUGUACCCAGAUGAGAUUAGCUAGUAGGUGGGGUAAUGGCUCACCUAGGCUAUGAUCUCUAGCUGGUCUGAGAGGAUGACCAGCCACACUGGAACUGAGACACGGUCUAGACUCCUACGGGAGGCAGCAGUGGGGAAUAUUGCACAAUGGGCGCAAGCCUGAUGCAGCCAUGCCGCGUGUAUGAAGAAAGCCUUCGGGUUGUAAAGUACUUUCAGCAAGAAAGAAAGUAUUUUAGUUAAUAACUAAAAUAAUUGACGUUACUUGCAAAAGAAGCACCGGCUAACUCCGUGCCAGCAGCCGCGGUAAUACGGAGGGUGCGAGCGUUAAUCGGAAUUACUGGGCUUAAAGCGUACGUAGGCGGUUAAUUAAGUUAGAUGUGAAAUCCCCGAGCUUAACUUGGGAAUUGCAUUUAAAACUGGUUAGCUAGAGUCUUGUAGAGGGGGGUAGAAUUCUAGGUGUAGCGGUGAAAUGCGUAGAUAUCUAGAGGAAUACCAGUGGCGAAGGCGGCCCCCUGGACAAAGACUGACGCUCAGGUACGAAAGCGUGGGGAGCAAACAGGAUUAGAUACCCUGGUAGUCCACGCCGUAAACGAUGUCGACUUGGAGGUUGUGCCCUUGAGGUGUGGCUUCCGGAGCUAACGCGUUAAGUCGACCGCCUGGGGAGUACGGCCGCAAGGCUAAAACUCAAAUGAAUUGACGGGGGCCCGCACAAGCGGUGGAGCAUGUGGUUUAAUUCGAUGCAACGCGAAAAACCUUACCUACUCUUGACAUUCAGAGAAUUUGCUAGAGAUAGCUUAGUGCCUUCGGGAGCUUUGAAACAGGUGCUGCAUGGCUGUCGUCAGCUCGUGUUGUGAAAUGUUGGGUUAAGUCCCGCAACGAGCGCAACCCUUGUCCUUUGUUGCCAGCACGUAAAGGUGGGAACUCAAAGGAGACUGCCGGUGAUAAGCUGGAGGAAGGUGGGGAUGACGUCCAGUCAUCAUGGCCCUUACGAGUAGGGCUACACACGUGCUACAAUGGCAUAUACAAAGAGCAGCAAACUCGCGAGAGCAAGCGAACCUCAUAAAGUAUGUCGUAGUCCGGAUUGGAGUCUGCAACUCGACUCCAUGAAGUCGGAAUCGCUAGU
rnacentral:rRNA from 1 species